UUACCUUCAUUAUCCGUAACUUCUUUACUCACUCAUCACCUUCCUUCAUGUUUAUCCAAUUUCUAAUUUCAAUAUCUACAGAUUAGUAUGUUUGUUACUACAAUUUGUCUUCUUAAUUAAUGUACUAAACCUAGUUUUGAAACACAAGGCAUGUCCAGGGUUAUGUGAUGAACUGGGCAAGGUAGUUAAGAAAACUCAUGGAUUAAAUGUUAAGCCUCUUACUGAUUUUGCUAUUUGUUGUUGUCAAACUGAGGCAUUUACUGCUGCUGUAUUUUCUGGUACAUUUCUUCAUUUUCUUAUUCAAUUCCAUUGUCUUUAAAUAUUAAAUAGUUUUAUAAUUUUAAUAUCUUCUGAUUUGAAAAUUCAUAGUGAUAAACCCGGUGAUGAAGUUAUAAUUAAGCCUUUCUUACCAACAAAAUAUUCUUGGGUAGAUCAACGUGUUCUUUUUAUUAUUGUGGAAGGAGUCUAUUUGGCAUGGGGAUAUUUUUCGACAAAUGUGAAUUCAGUGCUAAAAACAUGUAUAAGAAUGCAUAUACAUGGGUGCUCUUAUAACAUUUUGAUUCAGAGUUACAGAACUGGGUUGGUUGCUCGACCUUGGUGUCUGAUGAAGAUCUGCUUGAAACAAGACAUAGUAAAUAUAGUUGGUGAUGCAAGUUCUAAGACUACUAAAAUAGGUAAUCCCGGUGGCUUCAGUGUUGACUCCUAAUCAAUUUGAAGCUGAACAAUUGACAGGGUUAAGGAUCCAAUCUGAAGGAGAUGGUAGGGAAGCUUGUAACAUUCUUCAUGCUGCAGGACCUUCAAAGGUUGUGUUUACGAGUAUAAAUAUGAAUGGUGAAGUCCUUCUCAUUGGCAGUUAUCAGAAGAACGAGGUGACUUUUGCAUUAAGUUCUUAGUUUGUCUAAAAAAGGGCCUGUAUUUGGUGCUCUUUUUUAGUCUUUCUAAACUCCAAGCAAAUUGUUUACGCGUAUGAGGUUAGAAUAGCAAAUAGACUUAUCACUGUCUGAUUAUUACUGAAUAAGCUGAUGAACCAAGUGUACGCUACGUUCCUAGGUAACUUGUGCUUUUAUGCCGCUAUGCUACACAUUAUUCCAAUCCUCCAUUACUAGACAUGGAAAAAGUUGAGACUGAAAGAACAAUUUUCACUAAAUAAGUUUAUUUAGGUUAAAAUUUGCUUCCUGUGCUUUGAGUUCCAUUGCUUCUCGAAACAAGUUAAACAACAAUCUAAAAUGCAUUUACAACUUCCCUCUGUAAUAAGCAAAAUUUAUGAUUUCUUUCUUUCUUUCUUUUUCUUUUAAUUCUUUUUUUAUUAUAGAGGUUACAAAUUCUUUUCAACUAAGAUACAGUUGACAAGACUUAAGAUUGAAGUUGAGCUAGGAUAACUGAUAUUUGAAAGAACAAUACUUUAUUUCCAUCCAUCGGACGUACAUUAUUGGCAUGUGGAUGGUUCAGGAAUUCAUGUCCCUAAACUGAAAAUUCAUGGAUCAACUCAAAAGAGAAUGUCCUGUUGUAUGGCUAAGAAAAAACCUACAAGAGGGAAGGAACCUUUACUGAAACUGUGUAUUUUGAUCUUAGAAAAGUUGUAACACUUGAUGAUUGCAGGCCCAAAAAUGAUCCAUCACAGUAGGCCCAGUCUUUCUUCUUCAAGCUGCACGAACCCUAUUUUACUCUUCUAGACCUUCAUACACCUUUGACUCAAAAGAUUUGUUGAGGAUUGAUUAUUCGUAUUUGGAGAUGUCUUUUUCAGUCUUUUAUGAUGAUUGGAUAAAACCCAAAAAGUCCCACAAAAUUUUUGAAUCUUUAACUAAAAAAUUAAAGUAUAUAUGUGUGUAUAUAUAUCUCAUAUUUUUCGCUACUUCAAUGAAGAUUAGAGUGGAGCUGACUUGGGUUCAGAAUAUGGAUCUGGAUAUGAUUACGGUUAAAUAUGAUUUGGAAGAUUUAGAAGCUGUUUUUGUAUCUUAUAUGAUUGGUUGAAUAUGAUUUGUAAUUUUAUUUGAAGACUUUGGUGCGUAUGUUUCUUUGGAUUGUCUUAUAUGAUUUGAUGAAUGAGGUUAUGAGUGUCAUUGUUUGGAUCGACACAAACUAGAACUGAGUUGCCCAUGAUGUCAUGGUAUGCAAAAAAUUUAGGAUUUAAUCCUUAUGGUUUUAAUAGAACUUCGAUUGUCUUUGUAGUUUGAUAAACAGAAUAUAUUGUUUUGGAAUAAUAGUAGUUACGUAGAGGAGGCCAACACCAGAAAUGACAUGUAUUGAAGAAGCUUUGGGAAGUAUAGUUGCAUGUCCAUUUGAUAAAGUGAUCAUUGGUGAAUGACAUGUAGUCGUCUUAACCAGAGGACUAAAGAACCAACGAUGACAGUUAGCUCAUAUAAUCUUGUACACUUAUGAUGAAUUUUGUUUGUGUUUUGAGGGUUUAAUUUGUGUGGUUGGUACAUUUACUAAUUUGUGUAUCUUAAGGGUUAAUUUGUGUGAUUGGUACAUUGAGACCGCAACAUUCAUUAAGUAAAUUAUUAACUACUUUAUUUUGUAAUUUUAAUACAUUAUGAAUGAAAUUUAUUAGUAUUCAUUGUGC